rnacentral:rRNA from 1 species
UACGUAGGUGGCAAGCGUUAUCCGGAUUUAUUGGGCGUAAAGGGAACGCAGGCGGUCUUUUAAGUCUGAUGUGAAAGCCUUCGGCUUAACCGGAGUAGUGCAUUAGAAACUGGGAGACUUGAGUGCAGAAGAGGAGAGUGGAACUCCACGUGUAGCGGUGAAAUGCGUAGAUAUAUGGAAGAACACCAGUGGCGAAAGCGGCUCUCUGGUCUGUAACUGACGCUGAGGUUCGAAAGCGUGGGUAGCAAACAGG